UUCCGGUUGAUCCUGCCGGAGGCCAUUGCUAUCGGAGUCCGAUUUAGCCAUGCUAGUUGCACGAGUUUAGACUCGUAGCAUAUAGCUCAGUAACACGUGGCCAAACUACCCUACAGACCGCGAUAACCUCGGGAAACUGAGGCCAAUAGCGGAUACAACUCUCAUGCUGGAGUGCCGAGAGUUGGAAACGUUCCGGCGCUGUAGGAUGUGGCUGCGGCCGAUUAGGUAGAUGGUGGGGUAACGGCCCACCAUGCCGAUAAUCGGUACAGGUUGUGAGAGCAAGAGCCUGGAGACGGUAUCUGAGACAAGAUACCGGGCCCUACGGGGCGCAGCAGGCGCGAAACCUUUACACUGCACGACAGUGCGAUAGGGGGACUCCGAGUGUGAGGGCAUAUAGCCCUCGCUUUUCUGUACCGUAAGGUGGUACAGGAACAAGGACUGGGCAAGACCGGUGCCAGCCGCCGCGGUAAUACCGGCAGUCCGAGUGAUGGCCGAUAUUAUUGGGCCUAAAGCGUCCGUAGCUUGCUGUGUAAGUCCAUUGGGAAAUCGACCAGCUCAACUGGUCGGCGUCCGGUGGAAACUACACAGCUUGGGGCCGAGAGACUCAACGGGUACGUCCGGGGUAGGAGUGAAAUCCUGUAAUCCUGGACGGACCACCAAUGGGGAAACCACGUUGAGAGACCGGGCCCGACAGUGAGGGACGAAAGCCAGGGUCUCGAACCGGAUUAGAUACCCGGGUAGUCCUGGCUGUAAACAAUGCUCGUUAGGUAUGUCACGCGCCAUGAGCACGUGAUGUGUCGUAGUGAAGACGAUAAGCGAGCCGCCUGGGAAGUACGUCCGCAAGGAUGAAACUUAAAGGAAUUGGCGGGGGAGCACCACAACCGGAGGAGCCUGCGGUUUAAUUGGAGUCAACGCCGGAAAGGGCGAA
rnacentral:rRNA from 1 species